rnacentral:ncRNA from 1 species
CGUGGUGACGCGGAAUCUGAAGGAAGCGGGCGGCAAACUUUAAGGUCUCUCGGAACACGAACUUCAUAGGAGGCUAGGUAUCACUGGGUGAGUUUGCACAACAAAACAAAGCCCUUUCUGCCGAAGGUGAUACAGAGUAAAUGAAGCAGAUGGAUGGAAGGAAAGAUU